rnacentral:rRNA from 1 species
UUUUAUGGUCAAGCUACUAAGGGCGUAUGGUGGAUGCCUUGGCGUCAGGAGGCGAUGAAGGACGUGGUAAGCUGCGAUAAGCUUCGGGGAGCCGCUAAACAGGCUUUGAUCCGGAGAUUUCCGAAUGGGGAAACCCGGCAGGGGUCAUGCCCUGUCAUCGUGCACUGAAUACAUAGGUGUAUGAGGCGAACGCAGGGAACUGAAACAUCUAAGUACCUGCAGGAGAAGAAAUCAAUAGAGAUUCCGUCAGUAGCGGCGAGCGAACGCGGACUAGCCCAAACCGGCAUCACUACGGUGAUGCCGGGGUUGUGGGGCCCCAACGUGGGAUUGAUGAAGAAUAGCUGAAGGCUCUGGAAAGUGCCGCCAUAGUGGGUGAUAGCCCCGUAAGCGAAAUUCUGAUUCACCCUAGGGUGUCCCCGAGUACCACGGGACACGUGAAAUCCUGUGGGAAUCUGGGAGGACCAUCUUCCAAGGCUAAAUACUACCCGAUGACCGAUAGCGCAUAGUACCGUGAGGGAAAGGUGAAAAGAACUCCGGUGAGGAGAGUGAAAUAGUACCUGAAACCGUGUGCCUACAAGCAGUGGGAGCACUAUGGCUUCGGCCAGUGUGACCGCGUGCCUUUUGCAUAAUGAGUCAGCGAGUUACGCUCAGCAGCGAGGUUAAGCCGUUAGGUGGAGCCGUAGCGAAAGCGAGUCUUAAUAGGGCGAUUCAGUUGCUGGGAGUAGACCCGAAACCGGGUGAUCUAUCCAUGGGCAGGGUGAAGCGAAGGUAACACUUCGUGGAGGCCCGAACCCACUUAGGUUGAAAACUGAGGGGAUGACCUGUGGAUAGGAGUGAAAGGCUAAUCAAACUCGGANNCACGGGAGUCAGACUGCGGGUGAUAAGCUCCGUAGUCGAGAGGGAAACAACCCAGAUCGCCAGCUAAGGUCCCUAAGUAUGUGCUAAGUGGAAAAGGAUGUGGGAAUGCUUAGACAACCAGGAGGUUGGCUUAGAAGCAGCCACCCUUUAAAGAAAGCGUAAUAGCUCACUGGUCAAGUGGGCCCGCGCCGAAAAUGUAACGGGGCUCAAGCACAUCACCGAAGCUGCGGGUUUAUAUCUUAAGAUAUGAGCGGUAGGGGAGCAUUGUAGCAACCGCUGAAGGUCGACCGUGAGGACGGCUGGAGGAACUACAAGAGCUUAUGCUGACAUGAGUAACGAAAAUGCGGGUGAGAAACCCGCACGCCGAAAACCCAAGGUUUCCUGCGUCAAGGUAAUCUGCGCAGGGUUAGUCGGCCCCUAAGGCGAGGCCGAAAGGCGUAGUCGAUGGGAAACAGGUUAAUAUUCCUGUACCACCUGUUGUUGCGAUGGGGGGACGGAGAAGGGUAGGCCAUCCGGGUGUUGGACGUCCCGGUUCAAGCAUGUAGGCGGGAAGAGUAGGCAAAUCCGCUCUUCUAUACAACGCUGAGAUGUGAUGACGAGAGCUUUAAGCUCGCAAAGUGGUUGAUCCCAUGCUUCCAAGAAAAGCCUCUAAGCUUCAGAUAAUAGGUGACCGUACCGUAAACCGACUCAGGUGGGUGGGCUGAGAAUGCUCAGGCGAUUGAGAUAACUCUGGUUAAGGAACUCGGCAAAAUGACACCGUAACUUCGGGAGAAGGUGUGCCCCCAUUAGGUGAAGCGAUUCGCACGUGGAGCCGAAGGGGGUCGCAGAGAAAUGGCGGUAGCGACUGUUUACUAAAAACACAGCACUCUGCAAACUCGCAAGAGGACGUAUAGGGUCUGACGCCUGCCCGGUGCCGGAAGGUUAAGGGGAACUGUUAGCUUCUUCGGAGGCGAAGCGGUGAACCGAAGCCCCGGUAAACGGCGGCCGUAACUAUAACGGUCCUAAGGUAGCGAAAUUCCNNNNNNNNNNNNNNNNNNNNNNNNNNNNNNNNNNNNNNNNNNNNNNNNNNNNNNNNNNNNAUGCCGUCUACCCGCGGCAAGACGGAAAGACCCCGUGAACCUUUACUACAGCUUGGCAGUGAUAUUCGGGACAGCAUGUGUAGGAUAGGUGGGAGACUUUGAAGCUGGCACGCCAGUGUCGGUGG